CUCAGCCAUCCGUCUCUCUGCCCCAAGUUAUCUCUCGGACGCAGACGGGCGUGUGCUCCUCUCUCACCCGUCUCCCAGGACUUCGCGAAACCGGUGCGAAGCUGCUGGGGGAGUUUACAACGUGCCAAACGGAGUGCAAACUCCACGGAGAUUCCGGGCUUGGAAGGCCCGCGGGCCGGAAUUUCCUAAGGGACUACUUCGCUGGGGCCCUCAAGGUGUAGAAACCGGAGUAUGGCCCGAAGACGAGGGUUCUAGACUGGAUUCAGCGACUGUUUUCCUGUGGAACAUCCAACAGAUCACUUCCCUCUGUGGGCCUUGGUUUCCCAAUCUAUCAGCCGAGGUCUUCACACUGGGAUGCCCACCCUUGGAACCCAGCCACCAGGUUGUGAGGAAGCCCAGGCCACAUGGCAGACGUGACAUGGGAUGAUCUGGCUACCUCUCCCGCUAGACUCUCAGAUGACAGCAGGUCUCAGUCACCAGAUUGGUGGUGAACUGAGAUGAUUCUGGCCCCUAGCCUUUGUCUUUCAGCCAAGGUCCAGGAUAUGAAACAGAGACAAGCCAACCUUGCUGUGCCCUGUCUGAAUUUCACUCCCACAGAAAUUGGGAGUUAAGAAGUGAUUAUUGUUGUUUUAAGCCAACGAGGCUGGUACGGAACCCAGGUUCAGCUGUUCGCCACUCUAAAGGUCAAUACUCGAGAGACAAGUAUUGGUAGAAAAGGAAAAGUUGCUUUGUUCAGGAGGCCAGCAACCUGGGAAGAUGGUGAACUAAUGUCCUAAGACUGUCUCCAAGUUGCCGGAUUAGCCCAUUAAACACAAAGGACAUGUUGCAAUAAAACUGGGCACGAUGACCACUGAAUUGGUGAUCCAUUCUGACUCACAGCGCCCUGCAGCCGCGGUGACCAGGAUGUGGGCAAGCUUCAGGCUGAAGGUUGAGCUUCAUCUUCUUAAAAUGCAGUAAUCGAAGUCCCAACAUUGUCCGGGUACGUUCAGGAAGCACUCUUGCUCCCAGCUGAAAGAUGACUUAAGCUCAGAGGAUGAAGACCGCUGACCGUGAGUUGUUAUUCUGCUGUCCCAGUUUGAAUUUAAAGCUUUACGAUCCUUGCUUUCGUCAGCUCGAGGAAGCUCCUUGCCGAUUUACAUCCAGGGCUUAAUUCACCAAAGUUGGAAUGAUCUGCUCUUGGCAUUUCAUAACCAAUCUCAGUUUUCUAUCUCUUGGCCAUCGUAUUGUCAGAAACCUCAUAUUCUUGUUUGCUCGACCAGUUUAUAGAGAAGCUUUGUCUCCGCAGACAGAUCGUGGUUCCAUCUGGCCCUGCCACCAAAAGUCUUGUGAUUCCAGAUGGAAAAAUCCCCAUCCCCCCACUAUUUCCAAAGCGGCCCCCACCCUGAUUGUUUUAUCUACAGCCAGCAGCACAAAUCCUCCACAAACAGUCUCAGUAGGGGUGGAAAGAGCCACUAAUGAGGGAAACAGCUCAUCCCUUCUUCCAUUCUUAAGCCCUGUGCUGUAUGAAAUGGAAAAAUUCACACAUCUGGCUGGAUUGGUUGAAAUGGGGAGCUGUAGGGCAAAGAAGCUGGGGAGGUCUUGCCUUUAUCAAAGAAGAUGUCAGAAAAAAAGGCUAUUCUUACUGGCAAGAAAAAUUAUUACUUUCCAUCAUGGCUGUAGCUAUUCAACCAUCUAAACCUUUUUUUUUUUUCAAAAGACAUCCUUAAGGAACCCUAAGUAUUUAGCUGGAAUCUUCUGGUAGUGGCCAGUUUUCUCCCUGUGUGUGUGUUUGGAGGAAUAAAAGGAAUCAAACUGGUUUCCCUUCAGCACUGUCCUCACUCACCUGUCAGCCGAGAAAGAAAAGGGGAGGGUGAAUGGGAGGGGAGAGGGAGAAGGAGAAGAUUUCUGAAUUUGAGGAGCAAAAUUUCAGCUGCCCAGAGAAUGCGGGGAGGUGUGUCCACUCCUUCCAUCCUUCUUUUUCUGCCCUGGACCCCUUACCACUUCCCCUGGAGGCUCUGGGACCUCCCUCUCACCACUUAUUUCCUCCCUUCUCCGCUACAAGGGAGCCCAGAUUUUUGGUAAUCUGUUGACCGGGUUGAAGUGUAUCUGAGCUCUGUGCUCCCAGAGAGCCAGGGAGCUGGGACGGUAGAGAAACUACAGAGGAAUAUGUUCACAUAGUCAGUUUAUUCCCAUCCUGCCCUUCAGAUGAGACCUGUUGUCCACUCUCCUCCCGACUCUCUUGUCUCUAUGAAACCCCAGGCCCUCCUUCCUUUUCUCUGUAUUAAUGAAUGGUCUCCCUUUUGCAAGAGCCUGAAUAAGAUCAUCCCCUUAAUUACCCAGUGCCUCCCUUUCACACUGUGCUGCCCAUCCUGGGAGUCUGAAACAGAACCACAUACACAUGCGGAGUUAAGAAGAGGAAUUACCCCAGCUGGUCUAGAGGAAGAUGUGAACAGCAUCUAGUUAAUGGGCUGGAGGUAAAGAUUCUUUGAAGCAUGUAUUCUCCUUCUGGCUGUGUUUUUCACUUGAAAACCCCAGAAGCAGUUGGCUUAAGAGGGAGUUUAUUAAUAUGCCUAUGAAGGGAAACAUAAAUCCACACUGU